rnacentral:pre_miRNA from 1 species
UCUAGGGUACAUCUUACCUGACAGUGCUUGGCUGUUCACUGAUGUUCUAACACUGUCUGGUAACGAUGCACUCUGGU